ensembl:lncRNA
GAAUAAUCAGGCAACUGAUCUCUCCUUUAUCCAGUGGGUCCUUGGUCUUCCCUUUUCUUAUAGCCUGGCUUUAUAAGGUUCCCUCUGCCUCACCUCAUCUCCACCCCACUCCAUCACUAUUUCUCAAGGUUAGGUCACUUCAUUAGAAAAUCAGAGUGGAGUGAAGUCUCUCCAGUGACUUUUCCAAUUGAAAAGUCUACAGUCUAUGAAGGGGCUUCCCUGGUGGCUCAGAAGUUAAAGCGUCUGCCUGCAAUGCGGGAGACCGGGGUUCGAUCCCUGGGUCAGGAAGAUCCCCUGGAGAAGGCAAUGGCAACCCACUCCAGUACUCUUGCCUGGAGAAUCCCAUGGAGGGAGGAGCCUGGUAGGCUACAGUCCAUGGGGUCGCAAAGAGUCGGACACGACUGAGCGACUUCACUCACUCACUCACUCACUCACAGUCUAUGAAAGUCUAGCUUCAGCUUCCUGAAGCUUUGGUUAUUGACAAGCGUCUGACCUCUCUCUGAAAUCCUAUGGCCUUCCUAACCCCAGCAUUAACCCUCAUUGUUGUGGAAAUAAUAUAGUCUACAAAUAAAACAAAUGAACAAACAAUUAUACAAAAUCCCAAAGAGCAAUCAAACGGUCUUUUACCUGAGGCUGGGGUGAGAAAAUCUAUUCAUUCAAUGAAUAGUGGGUUUAUGGGAGAGGCUUCUCUGAGGGCUUCAGCUUGCAUUUCAGUAGCUACAUACACCUAAUCCAUACCCCAUCCACCCAAUCCCCCAUAGCCCCUCAGUCCUUUUAACCUCCUCCUAGCCCUCACCCUGUCAAGUAUUACAUGUAGCCCCAGGAAGGUUUUACUGUCAUUCACUGCAAUCUCAGUUGUCACCACCAGGUGGGAGAAAGAUGAGGAAUCAGAGGUGAGGAAGUACAGCUCUAAGUAGAAUUAAAAAAAGAGGGAAGGGGGUUCAUGCCCUGGUCUAGCCAAUAGAAAAAAGAUCCAAAAAAACCAGCUGUUGGAUAUGAUCUUCUGUUAGUUUAUUUCUUGCACCUUAUACAAAGGCAGUACCAUCCUCCCCGCCCAAGUUACAUUUUCAUGAACCAUAGAAAGUACCUGGCUCCAAAGAAGGAGAGGGAAGAAGAAAAGUCCAUUGCCGAAAUAUGCAUAUUUUGUCCCUCUCCUAUAAUAUUUUCCACAAAAUUAUCCAGCUGUCAUUUCUGGAGAGCAGAGACUAUGCUUUUUUGUCCCAUGUAUUCUUGCAAAAGUUCAUUAAGUGAAUUUAAUUGGUGAAUAAGUCAUUUUUUGAAUCCAUGUUAGGAAGCAUAGUCAUAUUCCAGACAUGAUUUGUCAUUAUAAAUUGUAUUGAAUGAUUCAUCUAUAAGGAGAGCUUCCAAACUCUGAACAAGUAGGUGAUGGUUUUGAGAAAUUGUUCCCCAUCCUUUGUAUUUUCCUACUUGUUGCUCCUUCUCUCCGCUCCUACAUUUAUUCUCACAGCAAUCCCUACAGGAGAGUUGUUAAAAAAAGAGGAUCAAAAAAAAAAAAAAGGCUAAUUGAUACAUUUGCUCCCCAAGGACCACAUCAUUGGUUCAUGUUUUAGGAUAAACAUUGGAAUCAUCUGGGAGCUUUGAAAACCACCACUGCCUGGCCCCACCCAAAAAACUAGUCCACAAUCCCUAGAACAGACCCCCAGCAUGGGAGGGUUAAAAGUCCGCAGGUGAAUCUAAUAUUCAGCAAAGAUUGAGAACCACUUUACCAGGGUUUCAGUAAUGCUAAGUAAGUCACUCACAUUCAGCUUAGAGCCAGACACUCCACUUACUUUCUCCCAUUUGCCAGGUUCCCUGAACAUGUGCAUGAUAUGGUCAAGUCUCUACUGUUGGUCUAGAUUCACUCUUAACUGUAACAAACACCACUUCCCUACAGUUCUUUAGUAAAAGUACUUAACACUCCCAUAAGGGCUUCAAGUGCUAAAUCAUUAAGAAUAUCACACUCUCUGCUGGAUAUUGUUCCACGUAAUGAUGUCUUCAAUCAUUUCAUCGUGCAUCAUUUUAAAGCUGUAAAAUAUCACAAUUUAUGCUUACAGACAUGAAGCUCUAAGUAUCCUCAGUCUGCUGUUGAGCUUGGUGGAGCUUUUCAAUUUGCAACCUGAGUACAAGAUCAUGUCACAAUAAUUUGGUUAAGCCUGAUAGAUAGUGCCAUCAGGACUGCUGCAGAGCAAGCAAGGCUUAUGAAUUUCACUACAAUGGUGUAGGGCAUCUCCUGGAUGAAUGAGUGUAUCAUGUUUCCUAUUGUUUUUAAUUAUUUGCAUAUACAUGUCUUUAAUAAAUCUGUGAUAUUGUUAAAAUCAGAAACAAACAGAGACCAGCCUGGGAAAUUCCCUGAGCAGAAAAAAUCAGUUCAAUCAUUCAAGCAAAGCUUAGUUUAUUUUAUAAGACCGACUUGACCUGGGUCAUUUCUUGCUUAUGCCUCUGAAAAUCAAAAGCAAAACUUACAACUCUUUCCCCAAACAGAUUAUGUGGCAACCACUAACCCAGUUCCCUAUCAUUUAACAAAAUUCUAAUAUUAUAACCAAUCAUGGUGAAGAAUAAAAAGGCACUGUCUUUCCAAUGAAUAAUUUGUUUUUUAGCAAUACACUUUGAGCCUCAUUCCAUGUUUUGGUUUGAGGGCUCCUGGUAUGUGAACUGUCUUU